GAUGCAGGGAGGCUGCUGAUUUCCACUGAAGAGCUAAUUUCCUGUGAGACAUUAACAGUGAUUUAAGAAAAAGAUUCCUGUAACUGUAAUGUCUUACAAUAACAGAAUGCAGGAGAGCACAUAUCAAUGAAGAAAAGACAAAAUGUACUUAUCCAUGAAGCUGAGGUUAAGAAACCAGUGUCUUCAAGAGCCAGGGACAGCACUGGGUCUGUGCAGAGUUGAGAGAUGGUGAUGACAUGUGGUUUCCAGCAUUCUUGGCCCAGUCUGGGAUUCUACUCUUUUGUAGGUUCGUAUUUGUACUAUUAUAAAAUGUGACUCUCUCUCCAAACUUUGCCUAAAUUACGGAAUGAUUUUUCAUGUUUAUGCAGUGGUUUCCAGCAUUCCUCACCCAGUCCAGGGACACUGUGGGUGUGCCCAGCUUAAGUCCAGUAACUGGAAAUACAAGCCCAAGUUCUGGAGAGUUUGAGCUGCAGAGAUAUAUAUGGGAACACUUUGAAUCUUGACUCAUUGGCCAUAACCAGCAGAGUGGAAAAUACAAGAAGAGAAAAAAACAUUGAACUGCGAUUUUAUAACAUCCUUUACUAGGCAGAGAGAAGAGGAAACACCAGGAAAGAAAACUGUAUUACGAUGUGAAAACUUAAUGUUGAGAAAUUCAGGCAUCUUGGGGUUAGUGAGGAGAAGUUUUAGGGGCUUAGAUUCUUCUAAACACAUGUACAGAAAUGCAUAUUUCAUCUGAUAUCAAAUGGCAUUUAUAGUGCUAAUCUUUACCUCAAGACUUCACAUCUUUUGGUGAUUGCAUCUUUUAGGUUUAUAGCAGCUAAGUUUGCAUGAAAACACCAGGGCUGUUUCAUUUCAGUCAAGAAUUAAUGUUCAUUGAUUGUGCUUCUGCAUUUCAUGUAACUAUUGUAGAAUUUGUUUUAGUUUUAUGAGGGAAUAAUUGUUCCAACUUCUAUAUAACUCAGGAAUUUACUCUCAAACAACACUGUCAAUUAGUUACUUAUCUCUCUGGAAAUGAUCUGGGAACAUGGAGAGGAAAGGGAGGAAGGGGCAAAAUCUGACCACUUAAAUCUAAGCAUAUUAGAUCAUUUUAUGCUAGAAAGUCCUGAAUGAUGUGACUUUCGUUCUUGUAAAACACCUCUUUCCAUAGAUUCAUGGCCCAAACAGUAUAUAAAGAGUGGGGAAGGAACUGCAUUUGCAAAUAGUUCAAAUCAUUGCUCCAUCUUAACUACGCAGUUCACAAAGUGUGAAGAAAUGUGAUCAUCUCAAAAAAGAUAAUGGGGAAAAAAUAUGUUUUGUUCUGUGACUUUAAAGUCUUGCAAUAUUUUACAUAAAUGAUAAUGGGUGCUUUAAUAAGAACUCUUGAUACUUUUGUUAUUGUAUUCAAUAUAUGCAUAUAAUACAACAGGAUGAUAUUGUUUUGGAUUUGGAAAUGUAUUCUUUCUUAUGCAAUCUUAUGCAGUCAUACUGCUUGAAUAUCAUUACCUGAAUUUAUCUUUCUUUUUUUUGUUGUUGUUUUACACUCUACU
ensembl:lncRNA MAGI2-AS3 MAGI2 antisense RNA 3